rnacentral:rRNA from 1 species
AGAGUUUGAUCCUGGCUCAGGAUGAACGCUAGCGACAGGCCUAACACAUGCAAGUCGAGGGGCAGCGGGGCGUGGCAACACGCCGCCGGCGACCGGCGCACGGGUGAGUAACACGUAUGCAACCUGCCCCCAACAGGGGUAUAACCCGGGGAAACCCGGACUAAUACCGCGUAGUCCGAAUGAGGGCAUCCUUUUUCGGGGAAAGCUUUUAGCGGUUGGGGAUGGGCAUGCGGCGCAUUAGCUAGUUGGCGGGGUGACGGCCCACCAAGGCGACGAUGCGUAGGGGUUCUGAGAGGAAGGUCCCCCACACUGGUACUGAGACACGGACCAGACUCCUACGGGAGGCAGCAGUGAGGAAUAUUGGACAAUGGCCGGAAGGCUGAUCCAGCCAUGCCGCGUGAAGGAUAAGGUCCUAUGGAUUGUAAACUUCUUUUGAGUGGGAGCAAUAAGGGUGUCGUGACAUCCGAUGAGAGUACCAUUCGAAUAAGCAUCGGCUAACUCCGUGCCAGCAGCCGCGGUAAUACGGAGGAUGCGAGCGUUAUCCGGAUUUAUUGGGUUUAAAGGGUGCGUAGGCGGUUUGUCAAGUCAGCGGUGAAACGCAAGGGCUUAACCCUUGACCUGCCGUUGAAACUGAUUGACUAGAAUGCGGAUGCUGUGGGAGGAAUGUGUGGUGUAGCGGUGAAAUGCAUAGAUAUCACACAGAACACCGAUUGCGAAGGCAUCUCACAAAUCCGUGAUUGACGCUGAGGCACGAAAGCGUGGGGAUCGAACAGGAUUAGAUACCCUGGUAGUCCACGCCGUAA